GGUUGUGGCUCAGUGGUAGAGCACUUGUCUCACGUGUGUGAGGCGCUGGGUUCAGUUCUCAGCACCG
rnacentral:tRNA from 1 species